rnacentral:rRNA from 1 species
UACGUAGGGUGCAAGCGUUGUCCGGAAUUAUUGGGCGUAAAGAGCUCGUAGGCGGUCUGUUGCGUCGGCUGUGAAAACCCGAGGCUCAACCUCGGGCCUGCAGCCGAUACGGGCAGACUAGAGUUCGGCAGGGGAGACUGGAAUUCCUGGUGUAGCGGUGAAAUGCGCAGAUAUCAGGAGGAACACCGGUGGCGAAGGCGGAUCUCUGGGCCUUACCUGACGCUCAGGUGCGAAAGCUAGGGGAGCGAACAGG